rnacentral:rRNA from 1 species
UACGGAGGGUGCGAGCGUUGUCCGGAAUCACUGGGCGUAAAGGGCGCGUAGGCGGCCUGAUAAGUCGGGGGUGAAAUCCUGCGGCUUAACCGCAGGGCUGCCUUCUAAACUGUCAGGCUCGAGCACAGUAGAGGCAGGUGGAAUUCCCGGUGUAGCGGUGGAAUGCGUAGAGAUCGGGAAGAACAUCAGUGGCGAAGGCGGCUCACUGGACUGGUAUUGACGCUGAGGUGCGAAAGCGUGGGGAGCAAACAGG